CAAUGAGUUGAAUCAGGUGUGCUUGUCCGGGGCUACAACAAAAAUUUGUGAUUUUGGGGUAACUGAAGGACUGGAGUUGGGAACCACUGACCUAGACUGACCAGGUGAAUGCUAUGAUCCCUUAUUGAUUUCAAUUGUUAGAUCCACUUCAAUCAGUGUAGAUGAAGGGGAGGAGACAGGUUAAAGAAGGAUAUUUAAGCUUUGAGACAAUUGAAACAUGGAUUGUCUAUGUGUGCCAUUCAAAGGGUGAAUGGGCAAGACAAAAAAUAUUGAAGUGCCUUUGAACAGGGUGUGGUAAUGGUGGAACUUAACAUUAGGAAAGUGCACUUAAUGUUUUGUGAACUCAGUGUAGGUCAUUGUCUGUUUUAGACUACAGCAUUUAUACCUGCAGGAGAACCACAUCUCAGUAGUACCAAAGGUGUUACUGAGGAACCUGCAACAGAAGGGAUAUUUGUAACACCAGCAGGUGUGUCUGGAACAAAAUUGUGAUUGAACAGGACUUCGGGAAUCCUGUCUCUUGAGGGGUUGGAGACUGAAUACAUUAAUGGAUGAGUGGUCAAUCCAAAAACGAUUCCCCCACUCACAUAUUCCUUGACGCUGGAGCUGAGGACAGAGCAAUUGUAUGGAGCGUACGGUUUGCUACUACCAGAGCUUUGUUUCCUCAAUGUGGCUGAUCAUAAGAUUGUUGAGGAAGAAGCACUGUUUUCCUAUGCUCAGUGAGCUUGUUAUUCACUCCAACCCACUGACCACACGGGGGAAGUGGUAUGUUAACUCUACUUAUGUGAAGCCAUUAAGUAUUAACAGAUUUUAUUAACUUCAAUAUUUUCUUAUCAUUCAUUGUAUUCCCAUCCAGGUGACCCCCGUACUGCUGACUGACUUCCUCCAGGAAAGGCUGGGUAUUUAGAAUUAGGUGCAAGAAGACAUCAGGGGCUGGUUUCCAAGACUCAGAUUAAGCCUUGACUAAAAUACAUCCUCAAUAGACUCUCCAUUGUAAAUACUUUUUAGUCCACGACUAGGCUUUCUGUGUUUAGGAAACUGGCACCAGACGUUGUGAAACCUCCUUUUGAUAUUAUGUGUUGAUUCCAAAUGACAGGUUCAAAUGCAAAAACAAUUGAAUCCACAUUUUGGGUUUGCAUUCACCUGGAAAGUUAAAUAUGACUGCAGUCUUUGUUUUCAUUUCAAUAUUUUGUUAACACUGCAUUUUGGUCUAAUCACUUUUGAUAUUGAAACUAAUUGUUGAACAUUCAUCUUUCUCUAGGUAAAAAUAAAUUCCUAAGGUGCCUUUUAUUGAUGAUCUCUGGAGAUGAAAGAUUUUGAAGAUCACAAUGGUCAUCAGAUGACACCUUCCAAAAUGAGGAGCCAUUUUUUUUGUGGUGGCUGCUGAGGGAAGGACUUUUCAUAACAGUGCCGUUUAUGAUGAGGGAGGAGGAUACAUUUUUUUUCAUGAGCAUGUCCUCUUACAGCAUGUUGGAUGAUGUCAUUCAUAUUCUAUUCACCCAGUUCAAUGUAACAUCGAUGGGUUUAGGCUACUACAGUAUUCUCAAAUGUUUCCUAUCCCCACCAUGACAUUGCUACAACUUAGUUUAUGUAAUUUGAUAUUGGUGACUCAUUUGAAACUGCCUUGCCUGCAGCUACCUUAUCUAGGGUGCAAUCAUUAGUCCAACAGUUUCUAUUGGACAUUCUUUAAAAAAAAAAAAUGUAUCCCUGUUUUCUUCAAUUUAAUGUUUUUCAACAGAAUCAUCAGCAUGAAUAAACAAGUGCACUUUCAUAGCAGCCUCGUUGUAUUCCUUCUCGCCUUGAUGCGCUUUCACCUUUCCCCUUCAUUGAAAUCCACAAAAGAACACAUCAGCUG
rnacentral:lncRNA from 1 species